UAGGUUCAGUGGAGCGUCAGUGAAAUACCACCCUGCUGGUUCUGGUGUCUAACCGCCAUCCCGUCAUCCGGGAUCGGGACACUGUCUGGUGGGUAGUUUGACUGGGGCGGUCGCCUCCCAAAGAGUAACGGAGGCGCGCGAUGGUUCCCUCAGCCUGAUUGGAAACCAGGCGUCGAGUGCAAUGGCAUAAGGGAGCUUGACUGCAAGAGCGACGGCUCGAGCAGGUGCGAAAGCAGGUCAUAGUGAUCCGGUGGUUCUGAAUGGAAGGGCCAUCGCUCAACGGAUAAAAGGUACUCCGGGGAUAACAGGCUUAUCUCCUCCAAGAGUUCACAUCGACGAGGAGGUUUGGCACCUCGAUGUCGGCUCAUCGCAUCCUGGGGCUGGAGCAGGUCCCAAGGGUUUGGCUGUUCGCCAAUUAAAGCGGUACGCGAGCUGGGUUCAAAACGUCGUGAGACAGUUUGGUCCCUAUCUUCCGUGGGCGUAGGAGGCUUGAGAGGCUCUGACCUUAGUACGAGAGGAC
rnacentral:rRNA from 1 species